rnacentral:lncRNA from 1 species
CCGCAUUAGCGAAACCCGUGGGGAGCGCGGGUAUAAGCGUGAUUGCAAUAGGAAAAAAAAAAGGAACAAAAUUCCUUCUUCAAAACACGAUCCUUCCCUUCUCUUCCAAACACAAAAUCUUUCUUCCUCGCGCAAUCCAUCUCCAACACCAGAACAGCCGUCGUCAAGGGCUUCGGUGGGACGCCACAGCUAUUGCCCAACCACCUCUGCCUUGCUGUUGUACCAGCAUCUCCUCACCGCGCGACAUCAGAACUAUUGUUCCAGCUUCGCCGCACAUUCUCUUUACCAUCAGAAUCAUCAAGCAAAAGGUUAGUAUUAGAUUAGAUUUUCUGAAUUAAUUUAUAAUUAGGGUUUGAUUUGAACUGUAUCAAGGUUAGAUUUUAAUGAUUGAUUUGGGUUUGAUUUUAAUUGUUGAUUUGGGUCUGAAUUGAAAUUUUUAUUGAUUUAUCGUGUUGAUUAUGUCUUUCCCUUCUCAAGCUUUAAAGUAAUCAGCAAAUUCUCUCGCACACAUUUUGGCAACAGUUGAAACCGUGCCAUGGAUCCACAGCAACAAAGAGCAAGCGCUACACAGGUACAGCCUCGGCCUCGGCCUUAGCCUCAACCUAGCCAUUUGUCUCCUAUACUCGGUGUAUUCCUCAUUUUCAUUGCUAUUGUCUCACUGGUAAAUUCUCUCCUAUUCCUAAUUCGUAGUCACUUUCAAUCUGGUUUAUCAGUUAAUGUGUAUGAUAUUGUGUUCUAUUUCUUGGUUUUUUUCACAGCACGAAGUUUUUUUUUUUUUUUUAACACUUCGUUGACCAUUUUUGGCCAAUUAUAUUUGAUUUUAUAGUCACAAUUUUUUCUCAAUUAGUACGUUUUAGGUUUUAAUGGUGACUUAAAUCUUCUUUUUUUAAUUGUUUGAGUUCAAUCUUGUAGCUCUGUAAAUAUUAAGUGUUGUGUUCCCACCUGAAUAAAGGCUUUCCUUGGAGUGAAAUAGUGAAUUGAAGAACGAUUUCAAUUGACUCGUUGUAAAGUUUAAUUUUUUCCUAAAAUGAGUAGUUCAACAAUGUAUUAUCAUGGGCAGUGUUUUUACCCAGAUUUUGCUUCGUCGCUUGCCUACUAGUAUGAAGACUUUAUUGCUUUGAAAACUCAUUUGCUAUAUUAAUGCUUUGGUGGUAAGUUUCUUGUAUGGUAUAUCUGUAAAGUUUCUUGUAUGUAUAUCUGUAGUUAUAUUAUUUUGAUUGGAAUUUUCUGUAUUUAACUCUGAAACUGACUUGCUGGAUUUAAGUAAUAAUUAGUUAUUUUAGUGAAAGCUUGUGUAAGUAUGAAAGUAAUAUUAAGUUGAUUUUGAACAAUAGAUUUUUUUGAUGAAUAUAGCUUUUGAAUGAAUUUUCAGAUGAUGUCAAUGCCGAACAAUAGAUUGUCAUUGCUUCCUGGAAGAAUAGACUGCAUCAAGUUACCCUUGUCGUACAUGGAAAUUAUUUGGAGGGGGCAGAAUCUGUUCUUUACAAAGCCUUCAAAGCAUGCAUUGACUUCUUGACUUCUCUUUUUUUUCCCCCCUUGUUUUCCUGUAAGAUUUUUAAGUUGCUGUUGGAUCAUGAACUUCGCUGCGGCUUUGUUGCAAUUUUGUUGGCUGCAGAAUUUUAGGCUUGGCUUCAGUAAAUAUAGUUUGAUAUUUGCAAGGCAUCUUUUAUACGGCUUGUGUAAAAUUUAUUUAUUUUUUUCCAUUUACAUUGCUGGGUUUCUUUGUGGUUGCUGUGCAAGUGUCAGAACACAUUCAAUUUUAUACAACAAUUA